rnacentral:rRNA from 1 species
AUUGAACGCUGGCGGCAUGCCUUACACAUGCAAGUCGAACGGCAGCACGGGAGCAAUCCUGGUGGCGAGUGGCGAACGGGUGAGUAAUAUAUCGGAACGUGCCCGGUCGUGGGGAUAACGUAGCGAAAGCUACGCUAAUACCGCAUACGAUCUACGGAUGAAAGCGGGGGAUCGCAAGACCUCGCGCGAUUGGAGCGGCCGAUAUCAGAUUAGGUAGUUGGUGAGGUAAAGGCUCACCAAGCCGACGAUCUGUAGCUGGUCUGAGAGGACGACCAGCCACACUGGGACUGAGACACGGCCCAGACUCCUACGGGAGGCAGCAGUGGGGAAUUUUGGACAAUGGGCGAAAGCCUGAUCCAGCAAUGCCGCGUGAGUGAUGAAGGCCUUCGGUUG